UACGGCUCAGUAACACGUGGACAACCUGCCCUGCGGUGAGGGAUAACUCCGGGAAACUGGAGAUAAUACCUCAUAGUUUACCAUCGCUGGAAUGCCUGGUAAGCGAAAGGUCCGCCGCCACAGGAUGGGUCUGCGGCCGAUUAGGUUGUUGUUGGGGUAACGGCCCAACAAGCCUGUGAUCGGUACGGGUUGUGGGAGCAAGAGCCCGGAGAUGGAUUCUGAGACACGAAUCCAGGCCCUACGGGGCGCAGCAGGCGCGAAAACUUUACAAUGCAGGCAACUGUGAUAAGGGAACCCCGAGUGCCCGUAUGGACGGGCUGUUCAGGUGCUUAAAAACCACCUGGAGAAAGGGCCGGGCAAGACCGGUGCCAGCCGCCGCGGUAAUACCGGCGGCUCGAGUGGUGGCCACUAUUACUGGGCUUAAAGCGUCCGUAGCUUGGUCGUUAAGCCUCUGGGGAAAUCUUCCGGCUCAACCGGAAGGCGUCUCAGGGGAACUGGCGGCCUAGGGAUCGGGAGAGGUGAGAGGUACUCUGGGGGUAGGAGUGAAAUCCUGUAAUCCUCAGGGGACCACCUGUGGCGAAGGCGUCUCACCAGAACGACUCCGACAGUGAGGGACGAAAGCUGGGGGAGCAAACCGGAUUAGAUACCCGGGUAGUCCCA
rnacentral:rRNA from 1 species